rnacentral:other from 22 species
AGAUUACUGGAUCUUUGGUUAAGUUCUUCUUUAUGUGCUCUGAUCUGACUCUCUUUCGACAUGAGGAGACUGUCGUGAUGCGGUAGUAAACCGAUCUUGUAAUCGGAAACGAAAGCCCACUUUGAAUCCUCUUCUGGCAUUUCCAGGUCGAUGCAGCAGAGAACUGACGGGGAUCCGGUAUUACC